CCCUUCUCUUUCCUUAAAAAACGAUUUUUGUCUCCAAACUCACCUUCUGUGUCUGAGUGUGUCUGAGAGAACGGGAACCGAGAGUGUUCGAAAGAAAAUCGUGUGGGUUAGUUCGCUGGUUUUUCGGUGAGGUUGCUAAUCCGGAGGGAGAAUCGAGUGGAAGUAAGCAUCGACAUAGGGAUCGCUGCGUCGAAUAAGGCAAACCGUCGGAAUCGAAGAAGAGGACACUAUGUGACCGUCGUAGGAAACGGAGAAGAGUGUGUCGUCGGUGCAUCUUUGAUUAGGGUUUUCGAGGUUUUUUGGGUAAGGAAGACGAAGAAAUUGGGUUGGGUUACUUUGGUCUCUAACCCAGCCCACAGACGAAUGGGGACCGCACUCAUUUUGGCCCAAUACGAACCUAACAAACGCGUGCGUUCGGCUUCGCAUGCGUACCCCGUGGCAGCUCAUCUCGCACUGGUCAAGUGGCUCGGCUCGUCGGCGACGACUCGACGGCUUGGCUUAGCGACUCGGUACCCACAAUAUAUUGAUUUCUAGGUUUUCGGCCCUUCCGAAGCCGUUUCCGCCUUUAUUUUUACAAUCUGAGGUAAAUGUAAGACACCAAUGUACGACUGACGGUGAACUUGAGGACACUAUGGAAGUUGAAGAGGGGGCAUUAUUAGUAGUUUACGUUUUAUUUGACUGUUUUUAAGUUAGAGCAUUGAACAUUGUUUUUAUUUAGAGUUUUCUGAAUUCAGUUACCGAAUGUUUUAUAUUCGGAGAUAUGUUUGUUUGGAUUUUUGAACCUUUAUGAAAACUUUGUUGUGUUUUCCAAGGUUA